CACGAGACGAGGAUUUUCCAACGUUAGCUCCGUUUCACGUCUAACAAUCACGUAAACAGUAUACCUACAAGUUUCGACGACCGGUCGAUUCCUCAGUUCUCUCUAAGAAUUAGGCCGGAGUGGUUGAGACGUGUGUAAUAAAAUCUGAGUUAUUAAAAUCUGUGAGUGAAAAUUAUUGUCGUAUUCGGAGCGUCUCGGAGGUGAUCCACGGAGGGAAUGACGAUCUUCGACGCCCUGUCGACUCUCGGCCAUGCGAACGCGGUUUCAAUUGUAUAAUAUCAGCGUCAUUAUCGAGAUUACCGGGGAUCCGGCUACGUC
rnacentral:misc_RNA from 1 species